CUGCUGCUUAAGGUACACUAACCCACCCUUACAAACUCACAAACACAUGUGACCAUGUCACGUUUGGGGACAUCGAGUGACUUAAACUAAUCCCCUUAAAGUUUGCGAAAAGUUAUUUAUGUCCUAAAUUGACACAUUUCCCCAAUUCAAUCCCCAUGAAGACUAAAACAGUGUCCCAAAAUGUGAGAACAACAAAUCUUCGGGCCCUUCCCUUCUUCUCUGGUACUCAGAGAGUGCAGACAGCCAGAUUGCACUUUGCUCAGCUAGACAAUAAACUGAGACAAUAAAUUCAACCAGACUUCUGAACUGCAUGACAUGAGGGAGUAAGAGAGGGAGAGGACCUUCAGACAGCCAGCGAUCAAUUCCUUCCAACAUGGAAGGAAAGCCCAAGCGGACAAAAUAGAAAGAAGUCAUUACUUCAGAACCAGCAUCAAGGGCAAAGCCUGAGGGGAGACGCAGACUUCCACCCCCGUCCCCCCUGCGGCAUGCUGGGUCCACCGGCAGAUGGAUGUCACUGACCCUUCUCAGUGAUCACAGCAGAGACUUGAAGCAGGGUCACAGUCAUUUUCCUCAUCGUGGUUGCCCGCUCUCCUCUCCAGGGGUCCAAUUCAUCUCUAUCUGCUGCUCAGUGAAGCCUGCAGUACCGAGCCACCAUCACUCACUCUCUGCAGGGCAGCCGGUGGAUUAGCUGCCCCCCCGGUGGUGGAGUAACAACCCCUGCAGUCCAGUCAGCAAACACUGCAGUCCUCCAGCAGCAAGAGCGUCAGGCGUGGCGGUCAGGGACCCUCCCCAGGACCAGGCCGGGGGAGGGGGGGGGGGGGGUGAGAUAGCAGCGUCUCCAGCACCCUGCCCGUCAGUCGGCGUGCGGGGGGGUAGGUCAGUCUGCAGGCAGGCACCAUGAUGGACGAGCAGCCGGGGCCUGACAUUCAUGAAUGGUUUCUAUGAUUCUGACUGGGAGUGUCACAAUGAAACAUAUGAAAUGGCAUAUAUUAUUAAGUUAAUAAUGCACAUGUGAUAAUAUCAGGCUUGUUGACCAGCACCAAAAAUUAUUUAUGUUACUUUCCUUUCUCACUUAUUCUGCCUAUCCUGAUGGCCCACUCACCAAUAAUUGUAAUGAUGGUGUAAUAAAGAGAUAAAAGCAAAGAUA